CCUACGGGAGGCUGCAGUGGGGAAUAUUGGGCAAUGGGCGCAAGCCUGACCCAGCGACGCCGCGUGAGGGAAGACGGUCUUCGGAUUGUAAACCUCUUUCAGCAGGGAAGACAAAAGGACGGUACCUGCAGAAGAAGCCACGGCUAACUACGUGCCAGCAGCCGCGGUAAUACGUAGGUUGCAAGCGUUAUCCGGAAUUACUGGGUGUAAAGGGUGUGUAGGCGGGUUUGCAAGUCAGAUGGGAAAAUUAUGGGCUCAACCCAUAACCUGCGUCUGAAACUAAAGAUAUUGAGAGGUGGGGAGGUAAACGGAAUUCCUGGGGUAGCGGUGAAAUGGGUAGAUAUCGGGAAGAAAA
rnacentral:rRNA from 1 species